ACGCUGGCGGCGUGCCUAACACAUGCAAGUCGAACGGAGUUAGAAAGGAGCUUGUCUUUUUUCAACUUAGUGGCGGACGGGUGAGUAACGCGUGAGUAACCUGCCUUUCAGGAGGGGGAUAACGUUCUGAAAAGAACGCUAAUACCGCAUAAGAUUGUAGUUUCGCAUGGGACAGCAAUCAAAGGAGCAAUCCGCUGAAAGAUGGACUCGCGUCCGAUUAGCUAGUUGGUGAGGUAAUGGCUCACCAAGGCUAUGACGCAUAACUGGUCUGAGAGGAUGAUCAGUCACACUGGAACUGAGACACGGUCCAGACUCCUACGGGAGGCAGCAGUAGGGAAUAUUGCUCAAUGGGCGAAAGCCUGAAGCAGCAACGCCGCGUGGAGGAUGACACUUUUCGGAGCGUAAACUCCUUUUCUUAGGGAAGAACAAUGACGGUACCUAAGGAAUAAGCACCGGCUAACUCCGUG
rnacentral:rRNA from 1 species